rnacentral:misc_RNA from 1 species
AACGCACAUUGCGCCCCUUGGUAUUCCGGGGGGCAUGCCUGUUCGAGCGUCAUUUCACCCCUCAAGCUCGGCUUGGUCUUGGGCAUCGCCGGCGACGGCGGGCCUCAAAAGCAGUGGCGGCGCCAUCGGGCUCUCAGCGUAGUAAAUUCUCCUCGCUGUUGGGCUCCGGUGGUCGCUGGCCAGCAACCCCCAACUUUCUAAGUUUGACCUCGGAUCAGGUAGGGAUACCCGCUGAACUUAA